UAAAAAACAUGGCACCAGGCUGAUUCUUCUUCCUGCACACCUUAAUGCCUAACUUUUGAAAGGACUUGAGACAUAAGAAUCACAAUUUUAAAAAAUUAUAGUUUCCAUGCCUUCAUGGUGGAUCAAUUUCCAUAGAAGUCUACCAAAAUGACUUAUCUCCAUCCCAGGGAAGCAACUGCAAGAGGGAAAAUGAAAGGAAUGCAGUCUUUCUAUGUAGGCAGAGUGGACUUAAGUGUGAGUCAGAAACACCGAUUUCAGUUUGUGCGCUGCAACUUGAUAACUUGGGUGAUGUUUGGCUUCUCAGAACUUUGGGAGGUGAAUUUGAAAAACAGGUAAUGCCACACUAUAUAGUUCAGAGGAUUACCUCAGCUUACAAACAGCAAAUGAGACGCAAAUGUGAGCCAUAAUUCACAUUUCUAAGCAGUUGGAGCCCUGAUAUGGCACUGGGGUUACAAACAAGCGGGGAAAAAUGUCAACCCAGUGAUGUCAUACUCCUAGGCCGGGCCCUAAGAUUUUUUUGGAACCUGGCGGGCUGAGCACAACAGGGAAAGCCUCAGCACCCUGACUUGGCACAAUGGUACCCUUAAGGCUCUUUGCUCACUCAGUUCUUAGUAGCUCUCCUAAAGCAUGGUGGUGUUCUCUUCCAGUUCUCUGCGUAGACUUUGCUAUGCUUCUCCGCCCACUGCUUCAUCCAGA
rnacentral:lncRNA from 10 species